rnacentral:rRNA from 1 species
AGAAUCAACGCUGGCGGCGUGCCUCAGACAUGCAAGUCGAACGAUUAAAGCUCUCUUCGGAGAGUGUAUAGAGUGGCGCACGGGUGAGUAACACGUAAGUAAUCUACCUUCGAGUGGGGAAUAACAUCGGGAAACCGAUGCUAAUACCGCAUAAUGCAGCGGCAUCGCAAGAUGACAGUUGUUAAAGGAAUUUAUUUCGCUUGAAGAGGAGCUUGCGGCAGAUUAGCUUGUUGGUAAGUACGGCUUACCAAGGCUACGAUCUGUAUCCGGUCUAAGAGGACGGUCGGACACACUGACACUGAAUAACGGGUCAAGGACCUCCUACGGGAGGCAGGCAGUCGGGAAUUUUGGGACAAGUGGGACGAAAGCCUAGACCCAGCAACGCCGCGUGAAGGAUAGAAGUAGUUUCGAUGUUAAACUCGAAAGAAUAGGAAGAAUAAUGAACGUA